GCUUGGUGCCAUGGCGCAUGCCUGUCGUCCCAGCUACUCGGGAGGCUGAGGUGGGAGGAUCGCUUGAGCCUAGGAGUUCUGGGCUGUAGCGCACUAUGCUGAUUGGGUGUCCGCACUAAGAUUGGCAUCAAUAUGAUGACCUCCUGGGAGCAGGGAACCACAAGGUUACCUAAGGAGGGGUGAACUGGCCCAGGUCAGAGACAGAGCAAGUCAAAACUCCCAUGCUGAUCAGUAGUGGGACUGCGCCUGUGAAUAGCCACUGCACUCCAGCCUGGGCAACAUGGCAAGACCUCAUCUCUU
rnacentral:SRP_RNA from 13 species